rnacentral:rRNA from 1 species
CCUACGGGAGGCAGCAGUAGGGAAUCUUUCACAAUGGGCGAAAGCCUGAUGGAGCAACGCCGCGUGCAGGAUGAAGGCCUUCGGGUUGUAAACUGCUUUUAUAAGCGAGAAAUAUGAUGGUAACUUAUGAAUAAGGAUCGGCUAACUACGUGCCAGCAGCCGCGGUCAUACGUAGGAUCCGAGCAUUAUCCGGAGUGACUGGGUGUAAAGAGUUGCGUAGGUGGCAUAAGAAGUAGCUAGUGAAAUCUGGUGGCUCAACCAUUCAGACUAUUAGCUAAACUGUUAAGCUCGAGACCGUUAGGGGUAACUGGAAUUUCUAGUGUAGGAGUGAAAUCCGUAGAUAUUAGAAGGAACACCAAUAGCGUAGGCAGGUUGCUGGGACGGUUCUGACACUAAGGCACGAAAGCGUAGGGAGCAAACGGGAUUAGAUACCCCAGUAGUC